GCCCCUCCGGCUCGCGGACAACCGGUACGGUCGCCUGCGCGGGAAACCGCCGAAGGAAUAAGGUCUGAAACUAAACUGGUAUGAGACUGGAGAUUUGAAAAUACUACUAGAAAAUACAGUCGGAGUUUUUUGCUACUGCAAGGACCCUAACAAGUUACAGGCUAUUUCUGCUCAAACUUACUGUUCAUUGUCCAAGACCUAAGCACAUCAAAGAAGGUAUUUCUCCUGAAAUUUUAAGCCACUUGGUACCUAAUAGU